rnacentral:rRNA from 1 species
UAUCGGAGAGUUUGAUCCUGGCUCAGGGUGAACGCUGGCGGCGUGCCUAAGACAUGCAAGUCGAACGGGCCUGAUUUCGGUCAGGCUAGUGGCGGACGGGUGAGUAACACGUGGGUGAUCUACCCCAAAGUCUGGGAC